rnacentral:rRNA from 1 species
AUUGAACGCUGGCGGAAUGCUUUACACAUGCAAGUCGAGCGGCAGCGCGGGGCAACCUGGCGGCGAGCGGCGAACGGGUGAGUAAUGCAUCGGAACAUGUCCAUGUCGUGGGGGAUAGCCCGGCGAAAGCCGGAUUAAUACCGCAUACGCCCGAGAGGGGAAAGUGGGGGACCGCAAGGCCUCACGCGAUUGGGUUGGCCGAUGUCCGAUUAGCUUGUUGGUGAGGUAAAGGCUUACCAAGGCGAUGAUCGGUAGCUGGUCUGAGAGGAUGAUCAGCCACACUGGGACUGAGACACGGCCCAGACUCCUACGGGAGGCAGCAGUGGGGAAUAUUGGACAAUGGGCGCAAGCCUGAUCCAGCCAUACCGCGUGGGUGAAGAAGGCCUUCGGGUUGUAAAGCCCUUUUGUUGGGAAAGAAAUCCAUCUGGUUAAUACCCGGGUGGGAUGACGGUACCCAAAGAAUAAGCACCGGCUAACUUCGUGCCAGCCGCCGCAGUAAUAC